rnacentral:rRNA from 1 species
UAAUGUCUGGGAAACUGCCUGAUGGAGGGGGAUAACUACUGGAAACGGUGGCUAAUACCGCAUAAUGUCUACGGACCAAAGCAGGGGCUCUUCGGACCUUGCACUAUCGGAUGAACCCAUAUGGGAUUAGCUAGUAGGUGGGGUAAAGGCUCACCUAGGCGACGAUCUCUAGCUGGUCUGAGAGGAUGAUCAGCCACACUGGGACUGAGACACGGCCCAG